GGAUUUUUAUUCUUUUUUUAUCGAGACUUUUGCUCAAGUCCUGGCCUCAACAAUAACUUAUGGCAGUGAAUUCCACAGCGUAGUGAGACACUGUGAAAAAGUAUUUGGGGAAUUUUCCAUCUUUCAGUUUAAUUUUACACACCCUCAUCGUGUGUUGUCAGUCAGGGAGAGGAGAAGCUCCAUGCUCCUCUGCAAGCACUUUCUAAGGCAAACAAUUCCAGUCUUUUCAGCCCGUCUCCAUAAGACAGUUUAUCUGCCUUCUUAUCUUUCUUGUCGCCAUUCUGAUACAGUGAAAGGAGCAAGGAGACAUUUUUUUCUCUCUCUUGGCAUCAACAUGUCCUCCACAAAAACUAAAAUACAUGGGAAGAAUUUCUGAAAGGAAGACAAUACACUCUGCCACUCACCCCGUGGCCAGCCAUCUGGACCACAACCAGACUGUGAAUAUGUCUCAUAUCUUCAUGCACAUUUGAAGGAGUAAUACCACCACUUCAUAUUCCGAUUGUGCCUGUCAUCCUAAGAACAUUAGGAACUGGACAACAGUCUGCCCAGUCCUUAUGCAGGUAUGUACAUGUGGAAUGGAAAGGGGCCAUUCUCUUCUUGAAUUGCUCAUAUCAGGGCCAAAUGGAGCUGCAGCACCUGGGCUUCUCUUUUCCUGUUCCUACCAUGGCAGAUAAUGCCCUGCCUCAUCUUGAUAAUCUUGGAGUGGGACUGUGCAGUGGGGGAGUAAACAGUAGGACAUGGUAUAAAGGGAUAUAAUACCAAAUGUGUUGCUCCUCCCUGUUGUGUUGGUCUGCCUCCUGCCAUGCUCCUUUUGAUGGGGCAGCUCUACAUCAUUCCUUAUAAUGGGUGUCCCUCAGUGACAUGAUUUAGCCUAAAGCAGGUAAGGGCACCAAGUGCAUAAAGCCCAUAAGUACAUACUUAACUUUGAGGACACGCUGAAAUCUCAUUGAUCUUAAGACCUUACCUCCAUUGAAACCUAUGCUUGGGUCCUCUGAGGCGUCACCUUGUUUUAAUGAUGAUAAAGCAGACACUGAGAGGUUAAGUGACUUUCACAAGGUCCCAGAGAAAGUUUGCAACUGCAUCAGAAUUAGAACUCUACUGUCUUGAUUCACUAACAGACAGAUUGCGACUCCUCUCCUAUAUCCCCAACAAUACUUCAGAACAGGAACAUGAAGUAAUAAAUUAAACAUCUGGUACACUGGGUACCAAAUUUGGCAAAUAUAUUGUCAUUCCAAGCAGAUUAGACCACUAUAACAGGCACGUCCCAUUAUAUGUUAAAUAUAACAGGUUUGACUAAACAGAAGUUGAGCCUGUUGUUAUCCAGAAGCACCACCAUUAAAGCCUCCACUUUUGCCAACUCCACUAGUUGGCCUUUAAUUAACACUUGCACGCUCAGAAUUUUACAGUUAGCAAUAUCUUCCUUAUUACCUGAAGACAAUUACUAAAACAAUGAAAGUUUUCCUACAAAAGCUGCAGUUAUUAGAAAACAGGUUCCUACAGACUUAUUAUACAGUAUCUGAUCGAAGGAAAAACAACUGGAGGGUCAGAACAAAUGGAUGAAUGGAAACACAAACGGCUGAAUUCAAGCAAACAUGCUAUGGUGUUCAGGCACAAUAAUGGCCCUAAAGAGGCUAACCACAACUGUGGAUAACAAACAGAAACAUCAAAGAGAUUUUGCCAGUAGCAGAAUCAAUUAAAGAUGAUUCUGAAAUGUCCAUACAGAGUAAAAAUUAUCUGGGUUCAUUGUGGCACUUUAACUGGAGUCAUUAAACAACAUACGUGCCACUACUGUCACUAUAUUUUAGGAGGAAUAUUAUCACAGAAGAAAGCAAUUAACAUGACUCAGUUUUGCGGGUAUGCGCUGCAAGAAGUGAUUAUUCAGACUUGGCGUUUACAGCCCUGAAAAAUGGAGACCAGGAUAGAAAGUUGGAGGCGAGUCAGACCCUGAGACGAAAGGAACAGAUUGACGCCAAUAAGCAAUGUGAGACGGCACGUAAUUUAAAAUCAUUGCAAACUGAAAGAAACUGUCAAGAUUUUUAAGGUCCAAGAAUUAAUAACCUUGUAAAUUUAAUCUCUCUUUGCCCCUACAGCCCUUCUUCUCCCUUUAAAAUAUCCUUCAUUCCUUUGGCAUUACCAUAGAUACCUUUAUUAAAAAAAAAAAAAAAGAAAAAAAAAAACACAUAUUGGAAUAAUGAAAAGCGGAGAGUUGGCUACAGGUUGGGACGUGGACACCUGUAUAAAGCAUGAGUGACUAUGGAUCUAAUUUCCUGGCUCUGCUUUCUCGGUUCCUUCCCUAUUCAAAAGAUUAAGGCUUUUCACUUUGCUUUCCUGUGUACACAUAAGGAAGUUGUCCUGGUAUUACAUGAUACCUUUAAUCAGAGGAUUUUAGAAUGCUUAAGGAGCCAUUAAGCCAUAGCAUGCCUGUGAAGAAGGUACUAUCACGCCUCUUGCAAAAACAGGGAAACUGAGGCAAAGAGUUUAAAUGGCCUGUCAGGAUGUCACAGAAGGUUAGCUGCACAGCCAGGAAAAGUACUCACAGGUCUCAGUUUCCCUUCCACAAUAAAGUGUACUACCUGUUGCAUCUAAUUGCUCUAACUAGGUAUUUAGAGCAGUGGUGCUCAACCUUUGCGUCCCACAGGAUGAGUGACCUGGAGCUAGUCUGCAGGCCAGAUUGAGCCCCAUGCAACCAUCAAGCUCUAGGGUCCAGCACCACCCCUCCCUGUCUUGUUCUCCAGGAUUCAGCUCUGGGGGCCCAGCACCAACCUCUCCUGAAAUUGGGCCCCGAGGGCCUGGCACCAAUCCCUCCUUCCAGGAUUGGGCUCUGGAGGCCUAAUGCUGUCCCCACCCAACCCCAUGCACUGAGAUUGGGUUGUUGGGUCCAGCGCCACCUACAUGAGCGCCAAAUCCAGCUGCAGUUGCACCA